AAAUUGAAGAGUUUGAUCAUGGCUCAGAUUGAACGCUGGCGGCAGGCCUAACACAUGCAAGUCGAACGGUAACAGGAAACAGCUUGCUGUUUCGCUGACGAGUGGCGGACGGGUGAGUAAUGUCUGGGAAACUGCCCGAUGGAGGGGGAUAACUACUGGAAACGGUAGCUAAUACCGCAUAACGUCGCAAGACCAAAGAGGGGGACCUUCGGGCCUCUUGCUAUCGGAUGUGCCCAGAUGGGAUUAGCUAGUAGGUGGGGUAACGGCUCACCUAGGCGACGAUCCCUAGCUGGUCUGAGAGGAUGACCAGCCACACUGGAACUGAGACACGGUCCAGACUCCUACGGGAGGCAGCAGUGGGGAAUAUUGCACAAUGGGCGCAAGCCUGAUGCAGCCAUGCCGCGUGUAUGAAGAAGGCCUUCGGGUUGUAAAGUACUUUCAGCGGGGAGGAAGGGAGUAAAGUUAAUACCUUUACUCAUUGACGUUACCCGCAGAAGAAGCACCGGCUAACUCCGUGCCAGCAGCCGCGGUAAUACGGAGGGUGCAAGCGUUAAUCGGAAUUACUGGGCGUAAAGCGCACGCAGGCGGUUUGUUAAGUCAGAUGUGA
rnacentral:rRNA from 1 species